ensembl:ncRNA lncRNA:CR44173 long non-coding RNA:CR44173
UCGUGUGGUUUCUGCUGCCUUUCGCCUCUUGAGCACCUGAACUGAGCUGAACUGAGCUGCACAGGUAAAUCGAGGCUGGAUGUGGAUGUGGAUGUCUUGAACCUGUCGGCGCAUUUUCUACGCCUGUAUGACAUAUCGCGAUAGAUUUACAUUGAAUUUCAAUAACCGCUGCAUGUCGCUUGCAUUUGCAAACACAGCCAGAUGAAGAUGAAAUGCAGGCAUUACGUUCGAUUCGGAAUGAGCUUUCACUUUUGCAGUUUUCCCACUGAAUGUAUGUUGCAGUGCCUCGUUGAAAUGACUGCACACCCAAGAACCACAACCAUCCUCAACAUUUUUUAGUAUCCAGUCAGUCUGCACCUUUGACAGCACCCACCCAGCAUUAUUAAUAUAACUCCAAAAGACCCCACCCGACGGUCUUGACAAAGCGACGACAUCGACAAAGUGAUCGGCAGGCCGAAACCGAAAUCAGCUAAGCGGCAACCUACAAACUUUCACCUUUGAGCAAAUAGUUUCCAUCAUUUCGCAAUGUAUUUUGAGUGCACGUCAAACAAAACGGCAACAAAUGUCAUAUUUAAGCACAAGCCCAGGCCGAAAAAAAAACCCAGGGCCCUACAACCCGAGACCAUCAACCUGUUGCCGCGCUGCCUCGGGGGUACUAAUUACCCCAGAGGCCCGAAACAAAUUUUAAGCCACAUAUUUACAUGGUACUCCAAAAGGGGGGUUGGGCCGAGAGUAGACGACCAUCCUAGCAACCUCUAAAAGCUGGCAUGCCCCCAUCGCAUUGUUGCAGAUAAUUUGUACCUGGAAACACGAUGGCAAAAUUAAGCAUCCAUUUGCAGAAGCAACGAACAGGGAAAUGCACUAUGGUUAAGGAUAUUUAAG